rnacentral:lncRNA from 1 species
CCCGCCAUAACUCCCAGAUUCCUUAGUCUCGAAGCUCCUGCCAGAAGCUGCUCGUGAUAGGAAGUCCCCUGCCAGAAGCCGCUAGUGAUAGGAAGUCUCCCGCUAGAAGCCGCUCGUGAUAGGAAAUCUCUUGCCAGAAGCCACUCAUGACGGGAAGUUUCCCGCCAGGACCUGCAUCGCCCUGCUCGACACGAGCACUCAGACACGUGUGCACGCUACAGCACGUGCUUUUCAGCAUGGCACUUUAGUCUUUGCCCGAGUCACACAGCU